rnacentral:lncRNA from 1 species
CUUCAAGAUCAGAGGAUAGAUAAUUUACCUUCUUUUGAAGUUCCUCCAUCUUUGAGAUAUUCUCAAAUUUUUCUGCUUUUAACUCAUUGAUGGUUACCUUUUGUUUCUCAAUAACCCUGCAGAUCUCUUCACUUUUAAGACAAAGUUCCUUGUAGGAUGCAGCAAGCUCUUCAUAGGUUACCUCUCCAUCAUCAGAUUCUGUAUCA